GUAGGUCCCGAGCGUUGUCCGGAUUUACUGGGUGUAAAGGGAGCGUAGACGGCUGUGCAAGUCUGGAGUGAAAACCCGGGGCUCAACCCCGGGAUUGCUUUGGAAACUGUGUAGCUGGAGUACCGGAGAGGCAAGUGGAAUUCCUAGUGUAGCGGUGAAAUGCGUAGAUAUUAGGAGGAACACCAGUGGCGAAGGCGGCUUGCUGGACGGUAACUGACGUUGAGGCUCGAAAGCGUGGGGAGCAAACAGGAUUAGAUACCCUGGUAGUCCACGCCGUAAACGAUGACUACUAGGUGUCGGUGAGCAAAGCUCAUCGGUGCCGCAGCUAACGCAAUAAGUAGUCCACCUGGGGAGUACGUUCGCAAGAAUG
rnacentral:rRNA from 1 species